rnacentral:rRNA from 1 species
UACGAAGGGGGCUAGCGUUGCUCGGAAUCACUGGGCGUAAAGCGCACGUAGGCGGCUUUUUAAGUCAGAGGUGAAAUCCUGGAGCUCAACUCCAGAACUGCCUUUGAUACUGGAGAGCUUGAGUCCGGGAGAGGUGAGUGGAACUGCGAGUGUAGAGGUGAAAUUCGUAGAUAUUCGCAAGAACACCAGUGGCGAAGGCGGCUCACUGGCCCGGUACUGACGCUGAGGCGCGAAAGCGUGGGGAGCAAACGGG